GGGACACGUGGUAUCCUGUCUGAAUAUGGGGGGACCAUCCUCCAAGGCUAAAUACUCCUGACUGACCGAUAGUGAACCAGUACCGUGAGGGAAAGGCGAAAAGAACCCCGGCGAGGGGAGUGAAAAAGAACCUGAAACCGUGUACGUACAAGCAGUGGGAGCACGCUUCGGCGUGUGACUGCGUACCUUUUGUAUAAUGGGUCAGCGACUUAUAUUCUGUAGCAAGGUUAACCGAAUAGGGGAGCCGAAGGGAAACCGAGUCUUAACUGGGCGUUAAGUUGCAGGGUAUAGACCCGAAACCCGGUGAUCUAGCCAUGGGCAGGUUGAAGGUUGGGUAACACUAACUGGAGGACCGAACCGACUAAUGUUGAAAAAUUAGCGGAUGACUUGUGGCUGGGGGUGAAAGGCCAAUCAAACCGGGAGAUAGCUGGUUCUCCCCGAAAGCUAUUUAGGUAGCGCCUCGUGAAUUCAUCUCCGGGGGUAGAGCACUGUUUCGGCAAGGGGGUCAUCCCGACUUACCAACCCGAUGCAAACUGCGAAUACCGGAGAAUGUUAUCACGGGAGACACACGGCGGGUGCUAACGUCCGUCGUGAAGAGGGAAACAACCCAGACCGCCAGCUAAGGUCCCAAAGUCAUGGUUAAGUGGGAAACGAUGUGGGAAGGCCCAGACAGCCAGGAUGUUGGCUUAGAAGCAGCCAUCAUUUAAAGAAAGCGUAAUAGCUCACUGGUCGAGUCGGCCUGCGCGGAAGAUGUAACGGGGCUAAACCAUGCACCGAAGCUGCGGCAGCGACGCUUAUGCGUUGUUGGGUAGGGGAGCGUUCUGUAAGCCUGUGAAGGUGUGCUGUGAGGCAUGCUGGAGGUAUCAGAAGUGCGAAUGCUGACAUAAGUAACGAUAAAGCGGGUGAAAAGCCCGCUCGCCGGAAGACCAAGGGUUCCUGUCCAACGUUAAUCGGGGCAGGGUGAGUCGACCCCUAAGGCGAGGCCGAAAGGCGUAGUCGAUGGGAAACAGGUUAAUAUUCCUGUACUUGGUGUUACUGCGAAGGGGGGACGGAGAAGGCUAUGUUGACCGGGCGACGGUUGUCCCGGUUUAAGCGUGUAGGCUGGUUUUCCAGGCAAAUCCGGAAAAUCAAGGCUGAGGCGUGAUGACGAGGCACUACGGUGCUGAAGCAACAAAUGCCCUGCUUCCAGGAAAAGCCUCUAAGCAUCAGGUAACAUCAAAUCGUACCCCAAACCGACACAGGUGGUCAGGUAGAGAAUACCAAGGCGCUUGAGAGAACUCGGGUGAAGGAACUAGGCAAAAUGGUGCCGUAACUUCGGGAGAAGGCACGCUGAUAUGUAGGUGAAGCGACUUGCUCGUGGAGCUGAAAUCAGUCGAAGAUACCAGCUGGCUGCAACUGUUUAUUAAAAACACAGCACUGUGCAAACACGAAAGUGGACGUAUACGGUGUGACGCCUGCCCGGUGCCGGAAGGUUAAUUGAUGGGGUCAGCGCAAGCGAAGCUCUUGAUCGAAGCCCCGGUAAACGGCGGCCGUAACUAUAACGGUCCUAAGGUAGCGAAAUUCCUUGUCGGGUAAGUUCCGACCUGCACGAAUGGCGUAAUGAUGGCCAGGCUGUCUCCACCCGAGACUCAGUGAAAUUGAACUCGCUGUGAAGAUGCAGUGUACCCGCGGCAAGACGGAAAGACCCCGUGAACCUUUACUAUAGCUUGACACUGAACAUUGAGCCUUGAUGUGUAGGAUAGGUGGGAGGCUUAGAAGUGUGGACGCCAGUCUGCAUGGAGCCGACCUUGAAAUACCACCCUUUAAUGUUUGAUGUUCUAACGUUGACCCGUAAUCCGGGUUGCGGACAGUGUCUGGUGGGUAGUUUGACUGGGGCGGUCUCCUCCUAAAGAGUAACGGAGGAGCACGAAGGUUGGCUAAUCCUGGUCGGACAUCAGGAGGUUAGUGCAAUGGCAUAAGCCAGCUUGACUGCGAGCGUGACGGCGCGAGCAGGUGCGAAAGCAGGUCAUAGUGAUCCGGUGGUUCUGAAUGGAAGGGCCAUCGCUCAACGGAUAAAAGGUACUCCGGGGAUAACAGGCUGAUACCGCCCAAGAGUUCAUAUCGACGGCGGUGUUUGGCACCUCGAUGUCGGCUCAUCACAUCCUGGGGCUGAAGUAGGUCCCAAGGGUAUGGCUGUUCGCCAUUUAAAGUGGUACGCGAGCUGGGUUUAGAACGUCGUGAGACAGUUCGGUCCCUAUCUGCCGUGGGCGCUGGAGAACUGAGGGGGGCUGCUCCUAGUACGAGAGGACCGGAGUGGACGCAUCACUGGUGUUCGGGUUGUCAUGCCAAUGGCACUGCCCGGUAGCUAAAUGCGGAAGAGAUAAGUGCUGAAAGCAUCUAAGCACGAAACUUGCCCCGAGAUGAGUUCUCC
rnacentral:rRNA from 1 species